UACAGAGGUCUCGAGCGUUGUUCGGAUUUACUGGGCGUAAAGGGCGCGUAGGCGGCGCGGCGUGUCGAGUGUGAAAUCUCCGGGCUCAACCCGGAAAGUGCGCUCGAAACUGCCGUGCUCGAGUGCGGGAGAGGGAAUCGGAAUGCAGGGUGUAGCGGUGAAAUGCGUUGAUAUCCUGCAGAACACCGGAUGCGAAGGCGGAUUCCUGGAACGCAACUGACGCUGAGGCGCGAAAGUCGGGGGAG
rnacentral:rRNA from 1 species